AAAUGAAUAGACGGGGGCCCGCACAAGCGGAGGAACAUGUGGUUUAAUUCGAUGAUACGCGAGGAACCUUACCCGGGCUUGAAAUGUACCUGACCGUCCUUGAAAAGGGACUUCUAGCAAUAGCAGGUAUGUAGGUGCUGCAUGGUUGUCGUCAGCUCGUGCCGUGAGGUGUCGGCUUAAGUGCCAUAACGAGCGCAACCCACAUUAUUAGUUACUAACAGGUUAAGCUGAGGACUCUAAUAAGACUGCCGUCGUAAGAUGCGAGGAAGGUGUGGAUGACGUCAAAUCAGCACGGCCCUUACGUCCGGGGCGACACACGUGUUACAAUGGGAGGUACAAAGGGCUGCUACCUGGUGACAGGAUGCUAAUCCCCAAAGCCUCUCCCAGUUCGGAUCGGAGUCUGCAACUCGACUCCGUGAAGCUGGAUUCGCUAGUAAUCGCGCAUCAGCCAUGGCGCGGUGAAUACGUUCCCGGGCCUUGUACACACCGCCCGU
rnacentral:rRNA from 1 species